AUCCUCAACUCUGCUGGAAGCCAGCAGGAGUGCAAGGAGAAUCAGUUCUGCUCAGGGUGAGUCAGAUUCAGACUCUUGGACAGAGGAAUAGGAAGAAGCUGUCAUACCUACAGUGCAGGAGCCGCCUGUACCACUCUCCAGGGGUGAGUGUCUGGGGUGAGUUGCUAGCGUCUGGAGUGAGUUGCCUUGUGACGCCGUGUAGGCCAUAGUGGCGCGCCGGCAGGCCACAAGAGAGGAGUCUGCUGGCUGUUCAAUGAAAAACAGUUCCUGUCGUUUCAGACAUGAAUGCUCUCAUUGUGGAGGAGCACACCCCGCUAUGCGCCUCUUUAAAAAGGGGAGGGAGACAGGCUACGGGAAAGGGAGCCGGCAGGGAUGAUGUACCUAGAAGUGAGGACUCCAGUGAGCGUCACAAGGAUGCGGCCGUGGCUCGACCGGUAUCCCAAUAGACGUGCCACGGCAGUUCUGUUAGGGGGAUUUUUGAAGUGGUUUUGGAUUCCAUUUGUCUUAUCUGAGUCCUUUUGUUUUGCGGAGAACUUAAAAUCAGUCCAUGGGAUGGAGGAUAGGUUACAAGACAAAUUGGAUAGGGAGAUUAGACCCCUUUGUCUUCCCUCCUUUUCACAAUCUCCGCGUGUCGCCGCUGGGCUUAGUCCCCAAAAAAGAGCCCGGCUCCUAUCCUACCCGGCUGGAGGAUCUGUGAACGAUGACAUCGGAAAGGAGGUGUGUCGAGUUCGAUACGUGUCCUUUGAUAGGGCUUUGGAACUGGUGCGGGCAGCUGGAGCGGGCAGCUCAGUGUGCACUUCCUGUUAGUCCGGCCGGGUACAGGAGACAAAAGCUCCCUGUACCCGCGGACCAUACCAUAGUGGGCUCGGCCACGCUACAGGGAGGGAGUGACAGGAGGGAGCGCUCAGCGAUUCCCUCCUGUCAGCCCCUCUCCUCAGGCUGCGCCCGGGCGGUGCAGUCCGCCCUCAUGGACGCACCGCCUAGGCAAAGCUGCAGCCGUCUGAGGCUCUCUACAGAGCGCUCGGGCGGCUGCAGCAUGAGGGGGGCCGGCGCUCCUGGCGGCGCCCCUUCCCAAGGGGUGCCCUAGGCGGCUGCCUAGUCCGCCUUACAGGUAGCGCCGGCCCUGGGUGGGCCUAUCAGGUGGUAUGGUUUCGCUGGCUGUCCUCGGCUGACAGGACUAAAGAGGUUUUAUCGGAGGAGGGCCGGUUCGAGGCCACUCUGCUUCUCCUGGCCUCUUUGGAGUCUCAAUGUAAGUCCAGUGUGGUGGCGGUGCGUGCUAUGUCUGCCUUGUCCUUUUGCUUUCGGUUUCUGGGUUGGAGGGAUCUUUCAAAAGAAUUCCUUAUUCAGCGAGUGUUGAAGGGUUGGAGACUUCAAAAGGGUAAGGAUCGUCGGAGGCCGAUCUCAGCGGACCUGCUGGAGCUUUUGUUGAAGGACCUCCCGAAGGUAUGUGCUUCUGACUUUGAGGUGUUGCUUUUUCGGGUAGCCUUUUCCUUUUGUUUUUUUGGGGGCAUUCAGGGUGGGGGAGCUGGUGGCUCCUAACUUAUGGUCGUUAUCGCCUAUGUUGUUGUCGGACGUGCAUCUGUCGACUUCGGCUCUGGAUCUGCGGGUUCGUCGGUCAAAAAACGACCGUUCUGCACGAGGUGCCUGGGUUCGAAUUGGUGCCGCUAGUUGCCCCUUCUGCCCGGUGCGAUUGUUGGUUUCGUACUUAGCAGUUCGUCCGGGUGGGGUGGGCUCCUUAUUGGUUCAUGCUAAUGGGUCCCCAUUAACUCGAUACCAGUUCUCCGCUAGGCUUAAGGCGGUUUUAUUGGCGGUCGGUGUGGAAAUUUCAGGAUACUCGGCUGUAGCGGAGAGCUAGUAUUGCAUAGCCUAUCUCCACUUUAGAUCCCAGUAAGGCUCAGGAACAAGUAUAAUAAAUCCACAGAGUAAUAAUUCCAGCAGGCAAAAAGUCUCCAAUAAUAUCCCAAACGCAAUCCCAAUGACUGGGCGACACACAGCAUCAGGAGCAGAACUAAAGAUUUAUUCACAGCAGCUCCUUAUAAAGGAUUCUCCCAUGCAAGGGAGGGAUUUACAGUAAUUACAACAGUAACCAAUGAUACAAAGGAUCCCUCCCCUACUUUCCCUCCCCUCAGAGUGACACUUAAUCCACUUAAUCCUGGUAAUUUUUCCCCUGUUUCUUGGAUGUACCCCAAAACCGUGGGGUACCAGGACCUAAGUGGCAUCCCCUGCUAGCUCUGGUCUGGGUGACCAACAUACUUAAAAUUCACCCAGAUCAGACCAGGGGUUCGGGAGUUAUAGACAAUAAAUGAUUUGACCGACCACACACGAAUAGAGUCGAAAGGAGUUCCAUGCAUUAUGGCCCUGCGGUCGGUCUUCGUUCGGGAGAUGAAACAGACAUAAAUCCUUGCCAUCCAUAGAUAAUCUCGGGUUCGCACGAACCCCAUUGUUCUGUAUAUUGAACUCACCGAACAAGGAAUCGAUUAGCCCCUCCGUUCGUGAGUUCUGGAGCUCUGGAGGUCUCAGCGGUGUUCGCCCAAUCGAGUGUCCGAGUUGGGUUCCAGACACUCGACGACCAAACACCGCUGAGAGUUCGUGCGUAAGAUGGCCGCCGCCACGUUUUCGUCUACCGAACGGCGGCAACCCAGAUACAGUAAUAAAACCUCAAUUAGCUGCAGUUAAAAAGGGAAUAAGGGUUUAACUAGGGACACACUUCGUCUCUAAGGUGGUCUAUGCAUUCGGUAGUUUCCAUUCGUAUAAUUAUGAAGGAAACUACCGAACUAACAUACGAAUUUAGAUACAAUUUUCAAUGUACAUUCAGUAAAACCAUGCGAACAGUCUUUUAACAUAUAAUUCUGGCGGACAGUCACAGGCCAUCCGCUACAUCGGCCCACUCCUUUAGGAUUGGGGCCGCUACUCAGGCAGGCAUGUUAGGAUUCUCGGAGGCCUCGAUUAAGCGGUUGGGCAGGUGGGAGUCGGGUCACUUCAAGUUAUAUAUGCGACCGCAUCUUUUGUAAUUUUCUUUCUCGUAGGAUCCCCUCGUUUUGUCUGGAUUCUGGGUCACUCAUAUAUUUAUUGGGCAGCACGCAGAGCUGAG
rnacentral:lncRNA from 1 species